rnacentral:rRNA from 1 species
UACGUAGGCAGCAAGCGUUGUUCGGAAUUACUGGGCGUAAAGAGUGUGUAGGCGGUGCUCUAAGUUCGGUGUGAAAUCUCCCGGCUCAACUGGGAGGGUGCGCCGGAAACUGGGGGUGCUGGAGCGCGGGGAGAGGAAAGCGGAAUUCCUGGUGUAGCGGUGAAAUGCGUAGAUAUCAGGAGGAACACCGGCGGUGUAGACGGCUUUCUGGACCGUAGCUGACGCUGAGACACGAAAAGCGUGGGGUAGCAAAACAGG